AGCUCCAAUAGCGUAUAUUAAAGUUGUUGCAGUUAAAAAGCUCGUAGUUGAAUUUCUGAUAGAAGGGAGCGGUUCCGCAUUCUUGCGGAUACUGGCUCGUCUUCCGUCAUCCUUGGGCUUAGUCUCGCUGAUAUUAACUUAUCGGCGUGUUAGAUGCCCAUCGUUUACUGUGAGCAAAUUAGAGUGUUCAAAGCAGGCAUUUUGCCAUUGAAUAUAUUAGCAUGGAAUAAUAAGAUAGGAUUUCACGAUUUUAUUUUGUUGGUUUGCGUUGUGAAAUAAUGAUUAAGAGGGACAGUUGUGGGUAUUCGUAUUCAGAUGUCAGAGGUGAAAUUCUUAGAUUAUCGGAAGACGAACGACUGCGAAAGCAUUUACCAAGGAUGUUUUCA
rnacentral:rRNA from 1 species